CAAAACUGUUGCCCCCUCUUUGGCUCUGCUAGGGUUUCGACCCUAGCAUCCAUGCUGCCGCUGCUAUGCUCGCCGUGGAGCCGCCGCGAACGGUGCCCGAAGCCAGUCAAUCAGUGGAGACUUCGGUGGCGUCGGCGCAGGUGUGCGUGAGGAGCGCGAGGCGGCCAUGCGGCGCCCCCUAGGGUUCCUUCUUUUCUAUUCACUGAACUUUGUUGGGCUAGGGUUUGAUUUGGGUUAGGACUUUGGGCUUGCUGUUUUGUUUUGGGUUUGGGCCACAUAGGCCUGCUGUAAUUUGGGCUCUUUUAUUGUAAUGGACUGUUUUUAUUUUUUUU